GUUUUAAUGUUUGCCUUUAAUCUUCCCUUUGUUUGUUUGUUUUUGUUUUGCCCUUUAAGAUGGGUGAUAGAUCUGCCACUCUGAAAAGAGAGUCUUUGGAUCAAGUCACCAACAGAACAGAUACAGUAAAAAUCCAAAGCAUAAAGAAAGAAGAUAGUUCAAAUUCUCAGGUAUCCAAGCUAAGAGAGAAACUCCAGCUGAUCAGUGCUCUUACAAACAAACCUGAGAGCAACAGGCCUCCAGAGACCGCCAAUGAAGAGCAAGUAGAGAGUUUCACAUCAAAGCCAUCAGCAUUGCCAAAAUUUUCACAGUUUCUUGGAGACCCAGUUGAGAAAGCUGCCCAACUAAGACCUAUCUCCCUACCAGGAGUUUCUAGCACUGAAGAUCUUCAGGAUUUAUUCCGCAAGACUGGCCAGGACGUGGAUGGGAAGCUGACCUACCAGGAAAUCUGGACCUCCCUAGGUUCUGCUAUGCCAGAACCAGAGAGCUUGAGAGCAUUUGAUUCCGAUGGAGAUGGAAGAUACUCAUUCCUGGAGCUAAGGGUAGCUUUAGGUAUCUAGCUUCAUCAGGCAUAUUUUAGAAAUGGACUGCCUAAUAUCUAUUUACCUAACAA
rnacentral:sRNA from 1 species